AGUAAAGUUUGUAGAUGAUUCUCGUAUAAAUAUAAAAGGAAAAGGCUCGAUUCUCUUCAUAAGCAAGGAUUGCAAAAGAAUGAUAUUGGCCAAUGUAUACUUCAUGCCCGAUCUAAGAAGCAAAUAUCAUAAGUCCCGGACAAGCUACAUAGUCUGGAUACAACAUUAGAAUGAGAGAACAUUAUCUGACUCUGUAUGAUCGAGAUGGCAAUCUGUUGGUGAAAACAAAUAGGUCCAAAAAUUGUCUAUACAAAGUAAUCAUGGAAGUUGAGAAUACUAGGUGCCUACAGCUCAUGAAAUUUGGUGAUUCAGCGAAGUGCCAUGCAAGUCUAGGGCAUGUCGGACGGAUAAAGAAAUAGUCACUAGCAUACCAAAAUGUAUGUUAAAAAGGAAACAUGUGCUUCAUGCUUGCUAGGAAAGCAAACAAGGCAAGUUUUUCCUCAACCAACUUCAUAUUGUGCCACACGUAUACUUGAGCUCAUAUAUGGAGAUUUUGUGGACCAAUUUCACCCCCAACAGUGUCGCAUAACAGGUACAUAUUUGUAUUGAUUGAGGACCAUUCAAACUAUAUGUGGUUCAUCCUAUUGAAAGAAAAGAGUGAAGCCUUCAAUAAAUUUAAGAAGUUCAAGGUCCUUGUUGAGUAAGAAACGGGAGCUACCACCAAAACCUUUCGAACAUACAUGGGUGAUGAGUUUAUAUCUCUCAGGAGUCUCAAGUGUUCUUCGUUGAGAGACAAAACAAAACCCUAAUGGAAAUGACUAGAAGUAUCAUGAAACAUAUGUGCAUACCAAACUAUCUUAUAUUAAAUAUUAUUUUAAAUACAACUAGAUCUCGAUCCGCGCAACUGUGCGGGUUUUUGUUUUCAUUUAAUUUUAUAUAAAUAUUUUGUUUUCAAUUCUAAAUUGGUAUAUAUUAUAAUCACUACAAGAAAACACGCAUGUUGCAAGGAAAAUUUGCGAGGAAAAUUUUUACAUGCAAAUUUGCGACAAGUUUGCAACGAACUUGCAAGAAAAAAUAAAAGCCUCGCAAAUCUCUCGCAAAUUUGCGUGGAAAAAUAUUCUCUCGCAAAUUUGCAAGAGAUUAGCGAGUGUAGUUACAUAGUCCUCGCAAAUUCCUCGCAAAUUUGCGAGUAAACAUUUCUCUCGCAAAUUUGCGACAGAUUUGCAAGAACUUUGUAUGUCUAUCUUGUUUCCUCACAACUCCGUCGUAAAUUUGCAAAGAACAUGCAUGAUAUGUACAUUUUAUCACAUUUCUCUCACAAAUCAAAUAAAGUUAAUAUAAAAAAUAUUUAAUUAAAAUAUUAGUGUUUAACAAGUACAUCGAUAAAUAUUAUUGGAAACUUAAUCAAUUUCAAUCAACUAAAUAUUCACGGAAUAAAUAUUUUGCGACACUUAAACUAAUAUUACAAAGUACUAAACAUCAAACUCUAUAAUUUAUACAAUAAGUUCACGUCAACUAAAUUUCUAUAAAAAAAUUGAAACAAAUUUUCACGUUAAUUAUUUUUUCAAAAAAAAUUACAAAACACAUAUUGGUUCACCGAAAAUAUAACAAAAUCCCAAACAAAACCCUAAACGCAUUGACUCAUGAAUUUGCAAGGGAUUCCUCGCAAUUCCCUUGCAAAUUUGUGAGAGAAUCUAAACGCUCGCAAAUUUGCAAGGGAAUUGCAAUGGAUCCCUCUCAAAUCUCUUGCAAAUUUGCGAGGGAUAUUAUUUCCCUUGCAAAUUUGCAAGGGAUUUGCGAGAGUCUCGUUGCAACUUCCUUGCAAAUCCAUUAUUCCAAACUUGACGGUUUGGGUUUUAUCAAGGAUUUUGGUGACGGAUAACAAAGUUUACUGAAUCAUUUUUAGUGUUUAAAAUGUACGUCGAAAAAUAUUUUCAGAAAUUUAAUUAACUAUUGUUAUGAACUUAAGUCCCAAGACUUGAUUUGUUAUUACAAUUAAUUAACAUCAAACCAUUAUAACUUAUAUAACUUAUAUACAUCAACUAAAUUUUCGAAAAAUAUUGAACAUAUUUUCACGUUAAUUAUUUGUUUAGAACCAAAUUAAUAAAUACAUAUAGUCUACCGAAAACAAAACUCCAAACGAAGCCUUAAAAUACACUAUUUAUAAAUUUGCAAUGGAUUUGCAAGAGAAUACUCGCAAUUCCCUUGCAAAUUUGCGAGGGGUUUGCGACGGACAUACCUAGUAUAUAAACACAUUAACCUAAUGAUAUAGUGACAAAAGGUAAACAUAAAAGAAAAAAUCCUAUUGGCCAAUACACCUUUCACAUAGAUCACCAUUCCAGCCGUUAGAUUGAAUUUCAAUCAAUGGACAAGAAUUUUUCUUUUCUAUUUUCUUAUUUUUCCUUCUCUCUUCAGAUCUACGAAUGAUCUCUUAAUUAUGUUCUCCAUCUUCUACAGCUCUCUCUCUCUCUCUUUAAUCUUCUGUUCUUUUCUCUUCAUGUUUUAAGAUAUCAUCUCCUUCCUCUAUGUUCUCCUCUGUUCUUCAUCAUCUUCCGCUCACUACUUUCUUCAUGGUUACCACUUCUGUCGCUGUCGUGAAGGAAGAACCGCUGCUGUCUCCGUCAUUUAAGAACAAACGCCUCUGUGCUUGAGGAAGCAUCGGCUCGUAGCAGUGGAGGCAACCGACCUUCUUCUUCAGAUUUAGUCCAUCUUCCUCGCCGUCACGUUUUGCUCUCUGUCCAAGACUCACCGGAGAUGAAGAUUCGUACCACUCUAGCUUCUCACCUCUCUAACUCGACGGUGGUGGGAUUUGAGAGAAGCGGAUCUGGAAGGUAGAUGCGACGGCUGGAAGUAGAAGCAUCGAUGGUGGCUAAAGCGUCGAAGGUGAAGCAUCGAUGGUGGCUGAAGCGUUGAGAGUACGGUGGAGAAAGACGACUGGAGGAGGACGACGGCGGCGGCUUAGAUUUAGGGUUUUCUUGUAUUUUGUUUGUAUUUAUGUUUAUAUAUUUACAUAUUUGUUUUAAACAAAAAAAAAACAUAUUUGUUUUUAUUAAUUAUAUCAAAUUGUUUUUUUGUUUAACCGUUGGAAAUGACACAUUUUCCUGUAGUGUACCAGAUUCAAUAUAUAUAUUUAUUUGUA